AUUGAACGCUGGCGGCAGGCCUAACACAUGCAAGUCGAGCGGAUGAAGGGAGCUUGCUCCUGGAUUCAGCGGCGGACGGGUGAGUAAUGCCUAGGAAUCUGCCUGGUAGUGGGGGAUAACGUCCGGAAACGGGCGCUAAUACCGCAUACGUCCUGAGGGAGAAAGUGGGGGAUCUUCGGACCUCACGCUAUCAGAUGAGCCUAGGUCGGAUUAGCUAGUUGGUGGGGUAAAGGCCUACCAAGGCGACGAUCCGUAACUGGUCUGAGAGGAUGAUCAGUCACACUGGAACUGAGACACGGUCCAGACUCCUACGGGAGGCAGCAGUGGGGAAUCUUGGACAAUGGGCGAAAGCCUGAUCCAGCCAUGCCGCGUGUGUGAAGAAGGUCUUCGGAUUGUAAAGCACUUUAAGUUGGGAGGAAGGGCAGUAAGUUAAUACCUUGCUGUUUUGACGUUACCGACAGAAGAAGCACCGGCUAACUUCGUG
rnacentral:rRNA from 1 species